rnacentral:lncRNA from 1 species
CACCAGUUUGACAAUGGCUAGUUUUUCCUUGAUGGUUCUCUUCUCCAGGGAUGAUUUGUUGAUAAAAUUGUUGAAAAGCUUGUAGAAUCACAGAAAAAUAGCAAGAUCAAAUUUAGACAAAGAUUUUGAGAGCAAAACAGAGAAAAACGUUUAUCUCUUCAUAUUCCCAUAUCUCUCUCUCAAUAACCAUUUUUCUCUCUUUUAUCCAGAGAGUAUCACAUGCACUCAAGCACCUACAGCUCUCUACAGCCACCCUAGGACUCUACAAAUACAUUGGAACUCAAAAACAAACAACGACAAAGUAAAACACACUCAAACAACUUGAUGGGCCUUCAUACAAACAAAAGCCCAACGAACAAAACACCCAGCCCACAAAUAAGCUUCUUCUCCUUCUUCGACACACCAACGAUGGUUUGUAAACACAUAACACAUCACUUAACACUCCCUCUUGCUGUUUUGUGUUUCAAACCAAGUUUUUCUCUGCGAAAUUCAAACAACUGACCUCUCAAGGGUUUUGUGAAUAUGUCAGCCACUUGAUCUUCACCUCUACAAUAUUGCAAUCUGAUGUCUCCACAUCUUUCAGCCUCUCGAACAAUGUGGUACUUGAUUUUUAUAUGUUUUGUUCUUCUAUGUUGAACUGGAUUCUUCCCGAUAGCAAUUGCAGACUGGCUGUCACUGUAGAUUGGAGUUCCUUCUUGAGAGCUGAAUUUCAAAUCUUCUAAGAGGCGUUUCAACCACAUCACUUGAUUGGUAGUAGCGCACAAUGCCAUAUAUUCUGCCUCUGCAGUCGAUUGAGCAAUCGUGUCUUGCUUACAGGAUUGCCAAGAGAACACAGCUGAUCCAAUGUUGAAACAGUACCCAGUUGUGGAUUUUAAGUCCUCGACGCAUCCUCCGUAAUUGCUGUCAGAGUAUCCAAUUAACCUUGGUUCCUCAACGGUAGAGUAAUACAUUCCCAUAUCAACAGUCCCUCUGAUGUAUCUAAGAACUCUCUUUGCUUCAUUAAGGUGCUUGACUCUAGGUUCCUUAAGAUACCUUGAAAGAUAAGAUGCAGCAAAUGUCAGAUCGGGACGAGUUGCAGUCAAGUACAGUAGGCCUCCAACAAGACUUCGAUAAACUAUGCAGUCUGUAAGUUCUCCUUUUUCUUCUUCGUGUUUGCUUUGAGGUAUGAGAGGAGUGUUCACAGCUCUGCAGUUUUCCAUGUUGAACUUCUUUAACAAUUUCUUUGCAUAACACUCUUGUGACAGAAAGAAUCCUUCCGAUUCUUGGAUAAUCUCCAUACCCAAGAAAUAGUUCAACAGUCCAAGGUCAGACAUUUCAAACUCAUUCUUCAUCACCAUCUUGAAUUCUUCAAUCAUAUUCAAGUCGUCACCUGUCACAAUAAGAUCAUCAACAUAUAUGCAUACCACUAGUAAUUUUCCUUCGAUUUCUUUUGUGAAUAGAGCAUGAUCAUUAUCACUCCUUUUGAAGUUUUCCCGGUUGAAGAAUUCUUCAAUGCGGCUAUACCACGCCCUCGGAGCCUGUUUUAGACCAUAAAGAGCCUUAUGCAAACGGAACACACAAUCUUCCUUUCCUUCUUCUUCAAAACCAGGUGGUUGUUCUGCAUAUAUUUCUUCUUCUAAUGUUCCAUUCAAGAAAGCAGAUUUAACGUCUAGUUGAAACAGUUUCCAUUUCCUUUGAGCCGCAACAGCAAGAAUUAACCUGAUAGUUUCAUGUCUUGACACAUGAGCAAAGGUUUCAUGAUAGUCAACCCCAUAUUGCUUUGUGUCUCACCACAUUUCCUUGAGCAUCAGUUUUUAAUCUGAAUAUCCACUUGACUCCUACCACAUUCUUGUCAGAAGGUCUUUCGAGAAGCUCCCAUGUUUGAUUUUUCUCAAUGGUUUGAAUCUCAUCUACCAUUGCAAGUCUCCAUUCCUUGUGUUUUGCGGCUUCCUCAAAUACAGCAGGUUCCUCUUCGAUGCCAACAUAGCAGCUUUCACAAGAUCCAGAAUAUUCAACAUUAGCAUAAGGGGCAUUCAAGAGGAUAUCUUCAAUAGUUCUGGUUUUCUUGUUUUGCAGGUUUGAGUCACUUUCUGGGCUGUCGAGGUUUAAGCUCAAUGGACUCGGAAGAGUACGUCUUUUCCCUAUAUCUUCAUUGUCCUUUAAUGAUGUCUCUCCAGUUGUUGGGUUUUCUUCUUCAUCCUUUGACUCGCUUGAUAGGUCAUAGGUUUUUGUAACUUCCUUCUUAUCCCAAUUCCACUUGCUUCCCUCAUCAAAUAUGACGUCUCUUGAGAUGUCAAUCUUGUUUUCUUCCAGCAGGUACAGUCUAUAUCCUUUUGUUUGAGAGCUGUAUCCUACAAAUAUACCUCUCUUUGACUUGUCAUCCCAUUUCUUCCUUUUUUCGUCUGGAAUGUGGACAUAACAUAUACUCCCAAACACUCUCAUGUGUUCCAACGAUGGUUUAGUUCCAUCCCAUGCUUCAAUAGGGGUAAUACUUUCUAAGGCUCUUGUUGGGGUUCGAUUCUGGACGUACGUAGCAACGUGAACUGCAUCAGCCCAAAAUUUUAGAGGUAAUCCCUGGCUUUGAUCAUAGCUCUUGCCAUUUCAACUAAGCUUCUGUUUCUUCUUUCUGAAACUCCAUUUUGUUGUGGAGAAUAUUCAGCAGUGAGUUGUCUUUCUAUUCCAUUUUCUUCAAGAAAUUCUGUGAACUCUUUUGAAAGAUACUCAGAUCCUCUGUCGGUUCGAAGCUUCUUGAUUUUGCAGUUUGAGUUAUUUUCAACAAGACUCUUAAACUUUCUAAAUGUUUGAAAGACCUCAGACUUGGCUCUCAGAAAAUAAAUCCAAACCAUUCUUGUUGCAUCAUCAAUAAAUGUGAGAAUGUACCUGUUUCCAUUUAUUGACAAGUUCUGCAUUGGUCCACAUAAGUCGCUGUGAAUUAGCUCCAGUUUCACUCUUGCUCUGGUCUUAGAUUCCUUCGGAAAGGGAUCACGAGAAUGCUUGCUUAGAAUGCAUGAUUCACAUUUUUCUGCUUCUACUUUGAACUUUGGUAAGCCGACCACCAUGUCUUUUGAUUGCAUAAUCUUCAGAUUUGAAUAUCCAGUGUGCCCGAGCCUCUUAUGCCAAAUUGUUGCAUCUUCAUUCUUAGCCAUCAUUGCAGUUUCUUCACUUGCUUGCCACUUUA